UACAGAGGUCUCAAGCGUUGUUCGGAUUCAUUGGGCGUAAAGGGUGCGUAGGUGGCGGGGUAAGUCAGGUGUGAAAUCUCGAGGCUCAACCUCGAAACUGCACUUGAUACUGCCUUGCUCGAGUACUGGAGAGGAGAUUGGAAUUUACGGUGUAGCAGUGAAAUGCGUAGAUAUCGUAAGGAAGACCAGUGGCGAAGGCGAAUCUCUGGACAGUUACUGACACUGAGGCACGAAGGCCAGGGGGGAGCAAACGGG
rnacentral:rRNA from 1 species